CAGAUCAAUUGUGGAUCAAGCGU
rnacentral:snRNA from 1 species